GCAAGGUGUAGACAAUGGAGUUUUUUGGGAGACCCAUCCAUAGUGAUUGGCUUUUGAGGAUAUCCUUCAGGCUUGAUGAUCUCCUGGAAGCCAACCUGACUCCUUUCCUGUAAGGCAUUAUUGGACCAGUUUGGGAAAGAGGACUUUGGGUGAUGGAUUGGCUGCCUUUGCCUGCCCAAGGAAAAAUGGAAUAAAUGGAGAGCAUACUUGGAAUAUCUGCUGAGUGUCAAAACAGGAUGUUCUGCCAUGGAUAAAGGUCUGUCUCGCAGGAAUGUUCUUCUGUGUGGAGUCUCUGAAACGAGUCCAAGAGCACUUUCGUCUGUUCCUGAUGCUAUACAGGAUAAAGGAAAAUCAGGGAUCACAUUGCUU